AAGGAAACGACUGAACAAAUGAACAACGAAACAGUACAGCAAGUUGUGGCUAAAAUUAAUGGGGAGGAGCUGAAUGGAAGACGGGUCAGUGUGGUCCACCCAGAAGAAAGGAGAGUGCCGGACAGAGCCGAUACACAAGUUUGAGCAGAUGAAGCAGGACGAUCACUGGGAUGAUGAGCGUCUUCGCAAGGAGUUUUCCCAGUUUUGGAACGAUCACGAGUGCAAUGAUGAUGAUAACAGAGGGUGGCCGCAGCAAGGGCUUCGGCUUUGUCUCAACGGAGGGGCCCCCAUGCAGCAGCCUGCUGUCCAUGUCCAAGGCCAGGAGCCUCUGAUGGCCUCCAUGCUGGCAACUGCUUGUCCUCAGGAACAG